GAGAACCUCCCGGACCCCACUCUGUUCCUGGGGAUUCGCUCUUCCCACCAGAGCACCGCCAGACCAUCCUUAGGUGGGAUUUGUUGUUGCCAUCACUCUUGUUGGAUGUCCAAUGGGAGCACCCAGGGCCGACAGGAGUGGCAGGCACAGGACCAGCCCUGCAUACAAGCUUGCUGAAUGACGAGCGAACAGAUAAUUAUUCUGGACCACAUUAGUGGUCGAAUCCCAGAAUGUGUCUGGACACACAAAUAAAUACCACCUACCACUCGUGACAGUACUUUGCCCUUCCGAAGUACAAGCUCAGGCAGAUCUCCAAGUCCUUUCAAGGUCAAGGCUUUCCUGAAAGGAAAGAUUAAAACUCAGAACAAACCAA